rnacentral:sRNA from 1 species
UGCUACUUGUUGCACUAUGGAAGUGAC